GACGAACGCUGGCGGCGUGCUUAACACAUGCAAGUCGAACGGAAAGGCCCUGCUUUUGUGGGGUGCUCGAGUGGCGAACGUGUGAGUAACACGUGAGUAACCUGCCCUUGACUUUGGGAUAACUUCAGGAAACUGGGGCUAAUACCGGAUAGGAGCUCCUGCUGCAUGGUGUGGGUUGGAAAGUUUCGGCGGUUGGGGAUGGACUCGCGGCUUAUCAGCUUGUUGGUGGGGUAGUGGCUUACCAAGGCUUUGACGGGUAGCCGGCCUGAGAGGGUGACCGGCAACAUUGGGACUGAGAUACGGCCCAGACUCCUACGGGAGGCAGCAGUGGGGAAUAUUGCACAAUGGGCGGAAGCCUGAUGCAGCAACGCCGCGUGCGGGAUGACGGCCUUCGGGUUGUAAACCGAUUUCGCCUGUGACGAAGCGUGAGUGACGGUAAUGGGUAAAGAAGCACCGGCUAACUACGUG
rnacentral:rRNA from 1 species